CAGUAGCCGCGGGAAUACGGAGGGUGCAAGCGUUAAUCGGAAUUACUGGGCGUAAAGCGCACGCAGGCGGUUGGUUAAGUCAGAUGUGAAAUCCCCGAGCUUAACUUGGGAACUGCAUUUGAAACUGGCAAGCUAGAGUCUUGUAGAGGGGGGUAGAAUUCCAGGUGUAGCGGUGAAAUGCGUAGAGAUCUGGAGGAAUACCGGUGGCGAAGGCGGCCCCCUGGACAAAGACUGACGCUCAGGUGCGGAAGCGUGGGGAGCAAACAGGAUUAGAGACCCCGGUAGUCCCUGUCUCUUAUAC
rnacentral:rRNA from 1 species